rnacentral:lncRNA from 1 species
AUCAGUAUUCAGUAGUCAUGUUCUGAAAACAAUAAAUUAGAACUCAUUGCCAAAACAGAGUAUUUGGGUCAUAUUUUCACAAGCCUUUUUAAAAUUAUUAUUAAUUUUAUGAUUAUGAUUAUAUAUGUUAUAUGUUGUAUACAUUCAAUUAUCAGAGAAUUGCUUUUGUAAUUUAAUAUGUAGAGUAUGGUAUUCGGUUUGCCAUUUGCCAAGACAACUGUUGCCAUCAUUUUUGUUACUUUUUUUUU